rnacentral:rRNA from 1 species
GUAGGCGGUUUACCAAGCAAGGCAUGAAAUAGUGUGGCUCAACCAUACUGCUAUGUUUUGAACUGGUAGACUAGAGGAUGAGAGAGGUUAUUGGAAUUCCAAGUGUAGGAGUGAAAUCCGUAGAUAUAAGAAGGAACACCAAUGGCGUAGGCAGGUUACUGGGCUAUCUCUGACACUGAGGCACGAAAGCGUGGGGAGCGAUCGGGAUUAGAUACCCCGGUAGUCCACGCCGUAAACGAUGGAUGCUAGCUGUGCGAGGUAUCGACCCCUUGCGUAGCAAAGCUAACGCGUUAAGCAUCCCGCCUGUGGAGUACGAGCGCAAGCUUAAAACAUAAAGGAAUUGACGGGGACCCGCACAAGCGGUGGAGCGUGUUGUUUAAUUCGAUGCAAAGCGAAGAACCUUACCCAGGUUUGACAUCCUGCGAAGGUUUGCGAAAGCAGACUGUGCCUUUUGGAACGCAGUGACAGGUGAUGCAUGGCCGUCGUCAGCUCGUGUCGUGAGAUGUUUGGUUAAGUCCAUCAACGAGCGCAACCCUUAUAGUUAGUUGAAUUUUUCUAGCUAGACUGCCUCGGUAACGGGGAGGAAGGAGGGGACGACGUCAGGUCAGUAUUUCCCUUACAUCUGGGGCUACAAACACGCUACAAUGGCCGGUACAAAGGGCAGCUAAGUCGCGAGACGGAGCAAAUCCCAUCAAAGCCGGUCCAAGUUCGGAUUGCAGGCUGAAACUCGCCUGCAUGAAGCUGGAAUCGCUAGUAACGGUAGGUCAGCACACUACCGUGAAUACGUUCCCGGGUCUUGUACACACCGCCCGUCAAGCCACGAAAGUCGUCAAUACCCAAAGUCCUAGCUUGUCUAGGCCUAAGGUAGGGGUGAUGAUUGGGGUU